UGCCAUGAUGGUGUAAUUUGCGUCUGAUCCUGUGUACAGUGACAGUUGCCUGCUGUUUCAAGCUGUUACAGGGAACUGAAUUUUAUUAAAUUCUGAGCA